rnacentral:rRNA from 1 species
CGGGACGGGUGAGUAACGCGUGGAGAACCUGCCGUAUACUGGGGGAUAACACUUAGAAAUAGGUGCUAAUACCGCAUAAGCGCACAGCUUCGCAUGAAGCAGUGUGAAAAACUCCGGUGGUAUACGAUGGAUCCGCGUCUGAUUAGCUUGUUGGCGGGGUAGGGGCCCACCAAGGCGACGAUCAGUAGCCGGCCUGAGAGGGUGGACGGCCACAUUGGGACUGAGACACGGCCCAAACUCCUACGGGAGGCAGCAG